GAGGGAAACUACGCUCGAGAUCCACAGGAGGAAGUGGCGACACGGAGCGGUGCUGUGAAGUUUGGCCGUCAAAGAGUAAUUGAUGGCGAUUGCUGUGGACGCCAACCUACAGGCUGUGGACAAGACUGGGUCUACACUGGGAAGCUCCGGGGGAGAAAGGGAGGGGUGAACGGGCUUCACCCCACACUGAGUUAAGUGCCACUUUACUGCACGCAACCCAUCGGCGCAGCUUACCUUUUUUUACCUGUUUUUUUUAUGUUAACCAGGACUGAUAUGGCAAAUGCCUGAUAAGGCAUAUAUGUUUUUUUUUCUUGUUAGUUGGUUUUUUGCAGUGAUUUGCAUGGGUUGUUUUUGUGUUUUCUUUAAUAAAUUUCUGUAGUAUUGGCCUACCCUUUUUGUGAGACUGGUUUGGUUAUGGAUUUUGAACUGGAUAACUGAGGGCGUGUUGUCUCCACUACAGUCCCCAGAGUGGACGGCGCCAGGGCCGUGCUGCUGAGGCCGUGGAUGAUGUGCCUGAGGGGGCGAUGCGCCUGGACAGUGCCAGACAACAAUAAACCGGAUCCUGGUCAAAAACUACAACAUACACAGAGUGUUGAGGCAGGGGCACUGACGGGGAAAAGGAUAGCACAUGUUAAAUAACCGCCAUUAAUCAACACUGACUGAGUAGUAAACUACUUUGGGUGCAAAAUGGGAUGAAUGCUGCUGUAAGAAAUUGUUUCAGUGGAUUGUAAUUUUUUUAUUAAUAAAUUAUGCUUUGGGGA